rfam:Schistocephalus solidus strain NST_G2 genome assembly, scaffold: SSLN_contig0027012
GGUCUCGUAGCUCAGAUGGCUAGAGCAUUGGCUGUACUAAAGCCUUCCCAUUGCGGGCUUGGGUUCGAAUCCCACCGAGGCCG